rnacentral:rRNA from 1 species
AUUGAACGCUGGCGGCAGGCCUAACACAUGCAAGUCGAGCGAGGGGCGGACGGGUGAAUAAUGCCUGGAAAUUUCCCAGACGGGGGGGAUAACAGGUAGAAGCGACUUCUAAUCCCGCAUACGAUUGGAUUGCCGAGGGGGGAUUAGCUAGUUUGUAAGGUAAUGGCUCACAAAGGCGACGAGCCCUAGCUGGUCUGAGAGGAUGACCAGCCACACUGGAACUGAGACACGGUCCAGACUCCUACGGGAGGCAGCAGUGGGGAAUAUUGCACAAUGGGGGAAACCCUGAUGCAGCCAUGCCGCGUGUGUGAAGAAGGCCUUCGGGUUGUAAAGCACUUUCAGCGAGGAGGCGUUACUCGCAGAAGAAGCACCGGCUAACUCCGUGCCAGCAGCCGCGGUAAUUC